rnacentral:rRNA from 1 species
UACAGAGGGUGCAAGCGUUAAUCGGAAUUACUGGGCGUAAAGCGUGCGCAGGCGGUUGUGCAAGACAGAUGUGAAAUCCCCGGGCUUAACCUGGGAAUUGCAUUUGUGACUGCAUAGCUAGAGUACGGUAGAGGGGGGAUGGAAUUCCGCGUGUAGCAGUGAAAUGCGUAGAUAUGCGGAGGAACACCGAUGGCGAAGGCAAUCCCCUGGACCUGUAC